rnacentral:tRNA from 1 species
GGGAAAGUGGCUCAAUGGUAGAGCGCUUGUCUUGCAUGCAUGAGGCCCUGGGUUCAAUUCCUCUGUACCA